ACCCUUAGAUGUUCUGGGCUGCACGCGUGCUACAAUGGCGUUUCCAGCAAGUCUGCGAACCCGAGAGGGCCAGCGGAUCUUCGAAUUGGCGUCGUGAUCGGGACAGUCGAUUGCAAUUAUUUGACUCAAACGAGGAAUUCCUUGUAAUCGCGAUUCAUCAUAUCGCGCUGAAUACGUCCCUGCCCUUUGUACACACCGCCCGUCGCUCCUACCGAUUGAGCGAUCCGGUGAAUAAUUCGGACUGCAGCAGUGUUCAGUUCCUGAACGUUGCAGCGGAAAGUUUAGUGAACCUUAUCACUUAGAGGAAGGAGAAGUCGUAACA
rnacentral:rRNA from 1 species